GGGUCAUUAGGUUGUUCGUGCCACCGGUACGUACUGGUCUCACUGAUUCCUCCUUCCUGAAGAACCGUAAUGCCAUUAAUUUGGUGUUGCGGGGAAACAGGACUGUUACUUUGAAAAAAUUAGAGUGUUUAAAGCAAGCUAACGCUUGAAUACAUUAGCAUGGAAUAAUGAAAUAGGACGAUCGAUCCUAUUUUGUUGGUUUCUAGGAUUGACGUA
rnacentral:rRNA from 1 species